rnacentral:tRNA from 1 species
GGAGCCGUGCCUGAACCAAAGGAUCACUUUGAUAGAGUGAAUCACGAGGGUUAAAACCCCUCCGACUCCU